AUGAACAGAGAGUGCAGACAGAGGUGGCUUGAGAAACAGCAGCACGUAAUGUGGUUUGGCAGGACAGUCCCAGAGGAACUCAUCUGCUUGGCUCAGCUUAGAGGAGGUUUUAGCAAGGUACACACUAACCAUCGAUGCUUCUCUACUCUGAAGUGAAACCUCUGUAAAUGAAGAUGUUAGAAGCAAGAAAACGUGUUUCUGAUAUCUCUUGGCAUGAGCGACAUAUGGGUUCAAGCUGAAAUGAUGGAGCAUCCAUUCACUUAGCAAAACAAAAAUAUGCCUUGGCACUCUGCUCUUCUCUGCUACUAUUCCAGCCAAAUUUCAAUUGAAAGAGCGGUGGGUUAUUUUGUCAUUGACUAUGGCAACAGUAUUUCAUCUGGAUGAGAUUCUUCAUGAAGUGUGGCACACAGAGUACCAGCAACAAUUAGAAAGAUGAUAUUCCUCUUGCAGUGCUCUCUACUGCCAAAGUUUUUAAUGUUGCAGGUCAAGACACCAAUAAGUAGAAAAGGUUGGUGGAAAUAUCUGAAAACGUUCAAAAACAAACAAAAAACCCUACCACCUACCUAUAUUGAAUGAGUUCUUUAUGUCCUUUCUAUGUUUUUCUUCUUUCAAGUUUUCUGGUUGUUAUUUUUCUUUUUAAAAAAUCAAAAAUCUGUGUUUUUUUUUUUUUGUUUUGUUUUGUUUUUUGUUUUUAAAUCAUCUUUCCAAAAUUUCUGCUGUACAUGUUUAUCUGGUUGAGCUUGUGUAGCAUCCAUUCUAUUCUAGUUCUUAAAUGUAGAGAUAACAAUUUGUCUGCCUCAUGAAACCAAUAAGUAACUAGGGAAAAGAAAAAAAAAAUCAAAGAUAUUAUUUCCUUAAAGACUUUUGCCCAAGUGGUCCUCAUAAAAAUAGGUAAAGUCUCUGAAAGACUAAUACAUGUUCCAUUUUUUGUCGUAUCUGAUAAGGCACUAAGUGUUUGCUAAAAGUUCCCCUCUUCAGAGUGCAAAUCUCAUUGGAAAAAUGCUUUUCCAUCUUAUGUACACCAAGACAAAAACUCCGUAAGAAUCAGAAGUCAUGAGAACAGAGCUGAGCCUGGGUCAGGGCAUGGUUCGUCUUUACAAGUGUGAAGGCUUACAGUAGACACCUGCAGCUCAGUUGUCAUUUUGGGCUCCUUAUUUUAGUCUUUGGAGAAAGACAGGCACUUCUAGGGUCUGGCUUCCUUAAUUUAGAUGAAGUCAGAAAUUCAAGAUAGGUGAGGUGAGUCAUGUCCCAGAAGUGCCUGUCUUUGCUGACAGUAAAGCAAGUGAAGAAAAUAUUAGACCAGUUGUAGCUUUCUAUUGUAUAACUGAGAUGAAUUCCAACCUUUGGAGAAAAGAGAUUUUCCACUAUUGAGGGAUGUUUUCAUUUAAAAAUAUUAACUGCAUCAUGCAAAUGAAGUAUAGAUUGUGCAUGUUUUAUAUCCAAGCUAAGAAAGAUGGAGUUAAAAAUUGCAUUGAAUGCAGGCAGCUGCCUAAUAACUCCAACUAACAUGUCACGUUUGGAACGUAGAAACAUGACAGGUGAACACAUGCAAGCCGUUGUACUCAGUGCCAUUAACUCCUAGAGGAUAAAUGAAAUUUAAUAUUGAAUGUACCAAUAAGAAAAAAAUCCUGCAGAUAUUUUUAUAUCUACCAUCUCGAUUAUUGUUAGUGCUGACUCCCAAAGCUGCUCUGCAUAUUUUUUCCCCUACCUGUCUCCUGUAAAAAGAGAGGCUUCACUGGAAAUUUUAAGAAACAUCUGAGAGAUCGUGAUUCUGUGUCAGUGUAUUUGUUGUAUCAGUUGGUGGUGCUUGUUGUUGAGAAACUGUUUGUACUCAAGCUUGGAGUUGGACUUUUUUUUUAGUAAUCUGUUUAUUUAUUUUUUUUUUCCCAAGGAAUAGAACAGUUUGUGUAGAAAAAGAAAAGGUUAGUCAGUAUGAUUUUAUAAUCCUCCAGUUAUUUAACAAACCAAUUAGAAUGAUGACUUGGCAAAACCAACUUUAAAGUGAAUUAAGACUAUGCCCCAGAUAUAGCCCAUGCUUAUACAAUUAUUUUUUUAAAGAGCUUACAUCAGCUUUAAACUAAUCUAUGAUUCGAGAAUUAAAACGUAAGAAGUAAUAAAAAUUUUUGAAACAGAAAAGAUCA
rnacentral:lncRNA from 1 species